AGCAGCCGCGGUAAUUCCAGCUCCAAUAGCGUAUAUUAAAGUUGUUGCAGUUAAAAAGCUCGUAGUUGAAUUUCGGGGUUAGUAGGCUGGUCGUGCCACUGGUAUGUACUGGUCUCACUGAUUCCUCCUUCCUGAUGAGCUGUAAUGCCAUUAAUUUGGUGUUGCAGGGAAUCUGGACUGUUACUUUGAAAAAAUUAGAGUGUUUAAAGCAGGCUAACGCUUGAAUACAUUAGCAUGGAAUAAUGAAAUAGGACGUUCGAUCCUAUUUUGUUGGUUUCUAGGAUUGACGUAAUGAUUAAUAGGGAUAGUUGGGGGCAUUAGUAUUCAAUUGUCAGAGGUGAAAUUCUUGGAUUUAUUGAAGACUAACUACUGCGAAAGCAUUUGCCAAGGAUGUUUUCAUUAAUCAAGAACGAAAGUUGGGGAUCGAAGACGAUCAGAUACCGUCGUAGUCUUAACCAUAAACUAUGCCGACUAGGGAUCGGAUGAUGUUAAUUUUUAAUGACUCAUUC
rnacentral:rRNA from 1 species